rnacentral:tRNA from 1 species
AAGGGGAGGUCCAAACCAACAAGAACUGCUAACUCUCGUAUCUGAGUCUAAAACCUCAGUCCCCUUA